GGGGUUGUGGCUCAGUGGUAGAGCACUUGCCUGGCAUGUGUGAGGCCCUGGGUUCAAUUCACAGCACCA
rnacentral:tRNA from 1 species